GGAACCCGGGUCGGUACCGAGGAGGCGUGGCGGGUCUCCGAGCUGGGAGGAAUCGCCUGCGCCCGACAAUCACCCCGCCCGCAGCCCGGGAGGCUGAGGCUCAGGGACGGAGAGUCCGGGAUCACCCCAGAGCGUCCGGGUCCGGGUCCGGGUCCGGGUCCGGGUCCGGCAGCACGCCCCCGUCACACACAGAUUGGGCCGGCUGAGUCGGCGAAUAAGGGGAGACGGAAGGAACAAAGGAACGGUCUGUGUGUCCCGUCGUUCACCUGGCAGCCCCACCCACAAACCCCAAGCCGGGAAAACAAGCAGUGACAGUGGGGUCCAGUCUGGGCAGGCCCAGGGUCCCCCACACAGCCUGGGACAGGGAGGCUCUUGGCAACUUCCCCCCCGCUUCCUGGCCCCACAGACACAGCCUGUGCGUCAGUCUCCAGGUGUGGCCCUGGCGGAUGCCUGGCUCCUUCAUCAAGGAGGGGCUGGAGCAGGUUCACCUCCUGGCUUGGUACCUCCACAUGGGGUCAGAAUGUAGGAGCUCACAAAAGACCUCCUCUCCCCCUGUGAAGACACUGGAUAAACUAAAGCAAGAACACAGCAACACGUCUCCACAGAGGCGGAGGCCCAGGUGUGGUCGUGGUGGGGCUGGGAUGGGAAUCAGAGAAGCCCUGCAGCAGGAAGGGCCUGGUUGACUUCAAGACCCCUGGACCAGAGGUGAACUGAAACCACACAAGCAGAGACCUGGCAGCCCCGGGAUGGACUCUGGAGACAUCACCUUGGCAGCCGAGAAGCCUUCCUGAGGCAAGUGGGACCCACGUUCCUCGUCAUAGGCCCUGUUGUUCAAUGCCCAGUGACAACCGACAGAACAGGAAGCUCCUGGUCGACAGCAAUGCCCCCCAACUCCAGUCUCCCGAGAGCCCCCCUCACUGCGGCCCUGCUCCCUCCCGAGGAAACUGCCAGUACUCUGGCCCGGCACCGCCCUCUGGCCUCAGGGCUCCCUCCAACCCAGCUGCCACCAUUCCUGCCCCCAGACUUGGCUCCUUCUCCCCAGAAGGCCAGCCCCUCUCCGGAAUGCCUGUCCGACCCCAUGAGGGGAGUGACCCCUCCUGCCCGGCGAGAGCUCCCGGUGCUCGGAUGGGCAUCAGGCGCAAGGACAAAUCUCACCCAAGGACUUUUCUUGGAGCUACUGGUGAAGAGGCUCUCUGCAGGGACCACAGAUUUCAGGUCGCGUCCUGGGGCUUCUGGUGGCGCCUCAGGCACCAUGCAGGGCCAAGCACAAAGCAAGUGAGGAAGAGGGAGCAGAACGCUGACGUCACGAUGACACUGGCCCUGGAGUCUGCUCCUGUGCCCUGGACGCACCUGGACAUGCCCUGGACACUCCCCUGCCGGUGCAAGAGUGACCCUCACCCCAGCACGGCGCUGACCUGCCACCACCACAGGGGCACGACUGGGUCCCAGCUGGUGGGAGGAAGGCACGCAGGCACGGGGAGCUCAGCAGGGCACUGGUGGGAUCCAAGUCAACACGAUGGAAGUAACGCGUUUACAGACAACCAUCAAAAAGGGGGGAACUGUGGCCCGUAACUGUGGGGGGAAGAGUAGUAACAGAAGCAUCUCCAGAAGUGAUCCGGAUGCU